CCACGACCUGUGACUCCCAAGCGCGGGCUCUUUCCAUUAUCCAGCUGCUUCUCAGGGGAGUGUGCCCAGCGGGGGCGCAGGGCCCAGCAGUUGUCCUCCCGAUUUGAAAAAGACUUCACUGACGAUGAAGUUCGUCCAAGAAUGUGCGUGUGACCGAAGAGCUCAGUAAUGCGCGAUCCACAGCCCUGGCCUCACUGGGCACACAAAGAGACUUAGAAGACGGCAUUCCUGCCCUCGGGAGGUGAAUAGUCUCAGCGGGAGUUGGACACAGGUGACUCCAGGAAGCAGGCAACAACUCAGUAUUAACUGUGGAAACGGAGAGGCGGAACGGAACUCCUGUCAUCAGUGGUGUUUAUUGAGUGCCUCCUGCUUGCGGAGCACUGUAUUAAGAACUUGGGAGUUUCCAGGGGAGAGAAUGUGGAUGGUUCAGUGCAACCCAUCACAGCUCCUGAAGACGCAUUUCAGCCACACCCUAUUGACGAAGGGAGCCCCCACCCUCUAAGCCAAGCCCAGCUGUGCACACAAACUCCCAAAGGAGCCUCGGGGUCAGUCAGAAGAAGUACUAGAGGCAGUCCUUGCCGUCGAGGAGCUUUCCCUUCAGGGGCAGACCCGCAGACCCUGGGUGGACUCGGCCCGCCGGUGUCCGAGCGGGAGGACGGAUCAAAAAGACCCUCGAGAGAGACGGUGACGAAACCGACCGCAGGCGGUAAAGAGAGAAACGUACAAAGACGCAGCUGCAGGGUUGGGAAAGCGCCGAUGCUGCAGGGGGAGGAGG